rnacentral:tRNA from 1 species
GGUCCGUUGGUCAAGGGGUUAAGACACCGCCUUUUCACGGCGGUAACACGGGUUCGAAUCCCGUACGGAC